AACACGACUACAUUAGAUACCCGCGUAGUCCCAGCCCUAAACGAUGCGCGUUAGGUGUAUCGGUGACCACGAGUCACCGAGGUGCCGAAGGGAAACCGUGAAACGUGCCGCCUGGGAAGUACGGUCGCAAAGGCUGAAACUUAAAGGAAUUGCGGGGGAGCACCACAACGGGUGGAGCCUGCGGUUUAAUUGGACUCAACGCCGGGAAGCUCACCGGAUAAGACAGCGGAAUGAUUGCCGGGCUGAAGACCCUGCAUGACCAGCUG
rnacentral:rRNA from 1 species